rnacentral:rRNA from 1 species
GACGAACGCUGGCGGCGUGCUUAACACAUGCAAGUCGAACGGAAAGGCCCUGCUUUUGUGGGGUUCUCGAGUGGCGAACGGGUGAGUAACACGUGAGUAACCUGCCCUUUACUGUGGGAUAACUUCAGGAAACUGCGGCUAAUACCGGAUAGUAGCUCCUGCUGCAUGGUGGGGGUUGGAAAGUUUCGGCGGUUGGGGAUGUACUCGCGGCUUAUCAGCUUGUUGGUGGGGUAGUGGCUUACCAAGGCUUUGACGGAAAGCCGGCCUGAGAGGGUGACCGGGCACAUUGGGACUGAGGUACGGAGCAGACUGCUACGGGAGGCAGCAGGGGGGAAUAUUGCGCAGUGGGGGGAAGCCUGAUGCAGAAACCCCGGGUGCGGGAUGACGGCUUUCGGGGUGUGAACCGAUUUCGCCUGAGACGAAGCGUGAGUGACGGUAAUGGGUAAAGAAGCACCGGCUAACUACGUG